GAUGAAGAACGAAGCGAAAUGCGAUAAGUAAUGCGAAUUGCAGAAUCCGUGAGUCAUCGAAUCUUUGAACGCACAUUGCGCCCCUUGGUUAUUCCGAAGGGCAUGCCUGUUCGAGCGUCAUUAUCACCCCUCAAGCCCUGGCUUGGUGUUGGACUUUAGUUAUAGCUUUGCCUAUCAACUGGUCUCAAAGAUAGUGACGGCGCCCCAGAGGGAACCGGGUACGAGGAGCUUUUUACUAAGCAUGUAUCUGGGACGACUCUGGGCGACGGUCUUGUUAUACUUUUUACCUAAGUGUUGACCUCGGAUCAGGAAGGAAUACCCGCUGAACUUAAGCAUAUCAAUAAGCGGAGGA
rnacentral:misc_RNA from 1 species